UUAGUAAUCAAUUCAAGUAAUGGCAAGCAAUCCAUUUCAAUUACUACUGCUUUUGCAUUGCUUCAAUAUAAUAACUUUAGCUUUUGCAUUGCUUCAAUAUAUAUAUAUAUAUAUAUAUAUAUAUAUAUUUUUCCAUUUAAAUCGAUAAUCAUUACGUAAUAAUUCAUAAAAUGGAUUUGCUACAUGAGCAUAAUAAGGAAUCCAUAUAUGAUAAAAUAUACAAGCCCCUAAAAACUUGCAUACUUCUGUUAAAGAGUCACAUGAAUCUUUCAUUCUUCCAAUUGCAUCAAUUUUGCUUGGAUCUGGCUUUCUCUCAUAAAAUCCACACAAAUACCCAACAAUAAGAACUUCUUAUAUUCCAAAUAUAGAUUUUAUUC
rnacentral:lncRNA from 1 species